rnacentral:RNase_P_RNA from 1 species
CUGGCACGGUAAGCGGUCGCUUUUGCAUCUUGCAAAAGAGGAAAGUCCGAGCUGCGAUAAGACAAAGUUCCAUCUAACGGAUGGCUAGGGAAACCUAAGGGAUAGUGUAACAGAAAGCAAACUUCCGCCUUGGCGGUAAAGGUGAAACGGCGGGGUAAGAGCCCACCGGCGCGCUUGGUAACUUGCGUGGCCAUAUAAACCCAACUUGCAGUAAGAAGGGAUGGUUUUGGUCUUAUAUUAAAACCCUUCGCUAGAGCUUGUUUGUAAAAGCAAGCGUAGAUAAAUGAUCGCUCAAGACAGAACUCGGCUUAACGCUGUGCCUCCCUU